UUCUCUUCUGUUCUGUCAACGUUGUAUCUAUCUUACACGUCCUCUGGCUUCUAUUUCCUUCUUCAAGGCACACUCUAUCGGACCAUGACCCAGGAGCACCACUGCGCAACAACACAGGAUUAGCUGGCAUAAAUAAAAUAAGAUCCGUUUUAACCAAGAGUCUUAGAAAUGUAAUUUUACAAGGUUGACCAUUGCAGCAGGAGUCUUAUCCUGUGUAUAUAAACCGGUGAAUUUAUAGCUAGAAUUCUGCAGAAAUCAAACUCUUCAUACUGCUACAUUUCCUUAAAAUAAGGAAACAAGGAUGGCUGAUGGUGACACUGAAGCCAACUAUCACCGGUUCUUGCAUCACUGGUAACAAGACCACAACAAGGAUUUUUUUACCCCUGAAUUCUGGAAUUUUAUUGUUCCAAAUUUAGAAGAAAGAUGUUCUCCCCAAGAUGAGCAGACUGUUUUUGUGACCAACCAUCGGUGAAAGUAAGAGGAGUUCUCGUGCGAUUGUGGUGAGGUAAUUUAACAGCCAAUGUCAUGGCUCCUGGGCAGUGAUAUCUGAAAACGUUACGCGACUCUUUCUCUUGCAACUCUGCACGCAUUAUUCGACAUUUUGCUCACAUAAACUGAUAGUCAAUACGUUCCAGUAGAGUGGAUAUAGAAGUAGAGACCAUCCCAGUACAACAUACAUAAAGCCAAAACCCAUCCUUGACUGCUGCACAGCAGUCUCGGGAGGAAAAUAAUAGUCAACACAAUUUUACUAGUUUCUUAUAAACCAACGUUUCGAUUACACUGAAUAAUAUGAGUACACUGGCCUGUGGCUUUCCGCCUCUUGUCUGUCUCCAAUUUGGCAUAUUGGCGCUACUUUGGCUCUCUUCUUGAUCACUGGUAGCUCUCCAAUUUUCCAUUUACAUGAGUGGGAUCCUGGGCGUGAAUGUGGAUGCUUAUCUAGCUCAACCUACCCACUAACCUGUUGUGAGUAAGGAUAUGAGUGCUAGCAUUAGAGCUUUGCCUCAUUGCUGCGCCCUUAGAUGUAAAUGAGGGUGUGAGGUAUCUAUAUAAAAAAAUUAUGUUUUUUAGUCGCCAUAUAUUUUCCUUAAUUCACUCAUGCGCCGAAUGAGUAAUACAAAUAUUUAUUAAAAGCAAAACUAUGCUUCACCCAUAAAUAAUUUGCCAGUUAUUAAGAAACCAAACAAUUUACUUGUAAGAACUGCGAUUCACGAAGAAAAAUAGUGACUAGUAUUAUUUAUCAGGAUUAUGACUUAGCGGAGAGAUGCAUUACUUAAACCUACAAGUCGAAUUAAUAUAAUUUUACAAGCAAGCAAUAACUGAUCUGUGGUAGCGCAUUGCUAUGUGGUUUACUAAUUAGCUGACUGUGUGGUUGACUAUCUGAUUCUGUAGCUAUGUAGCUGACUAAGUGACUGGUAGGUAGCUAUAUGUUGCUGACCACCUGAUUGGAUGUGUGUAACUAUAUGGCUGACUAAAUUGGUUGGCUGAAAGUUGUUUACCUUUCUGGCUGACAGGUUGGCAGGCUUUCAGGGGAUUAGCCCAUCAGAGUCUGGCAUCAGUGACGUAAUCUAGUCCAGCCUCCAUGUUUCCGUGGCUCCGGCCGAUAAUGCUCCACCUCCCGGACACCUCACCACAAGUUUGGAAGGUGAUGGCACAUGGGAUGAUGCCAAUCGAUUCUACAGAGUUGGGUUCAAGACUCAUCGAAAAGGCACGAGUUGCAAGUAGCACCAUCGUCCUGCAACGUCCAGCUCCUAACUAUAGAAAUUCAUAGAGUGAACGUCUUCCGCAUCCUCGGUGAUGGUCUUGCAUCAAAGGAGUUAGAGAAGAAUAUCAGCCUCCAGCUAUAUGUCAAAAACAUGUAAUGAGUAAUUGUAAUAAAUGUGUGGUUUAGA